CAGAACGAACGCUGGCGGCAUGCCUAACACAUGCAAGUCGAACGAGACCUUCGGGUCUAGUGGCGCACGGGUGCGUAACGCGUGGGAAUCUGCCCUUGGUUCGGAAUAACAGUUAGAAAUGACUGCUAAUACCGGAUGAUGACGAAAGUCCAAAGAUUUAUCGCCGAGGGAUGAGCCCGCGUAGGAUUAGCUAGUUGGUGAGGUAAAGGCUCACCAAGGCGACGAUCCUUAGCUGGUCUGAGAGGAUGAUCAGCCACACUGGGACUGAGACACGGCCCAGACUCCUACGGGAGGCAGCAGUGGGGAAUAUUGGACAAUGGGCGAAAGCCUGAUCCAGCAAUGCCGCGUGAGUGAUGAAGGCCUUAGGGUCGUAAAGCUCUUUUACCAGGGAUGAUAAUGACAGUACCUGGAGAAUAAGCUCCGGCUAACUCCGUG
rnacentral:rRNA from 1 species